UACGUAGGGACCAAGCGUUGUUCGGAUUUACUGGGCGUAAAGGGCGCGUAGGCGGCGUGUUAAGUCAGCUGUGAAAUCUCCGGGCUUAACUCGGAAAGGUCAGCCGAUACUGCGGGGCUAGAGUGCAGAAGGGGCAACUGGAAUUCUCGGUGUAGCGGUGAAAUGCGCAGAUAUCGGGAGGAACACCAAUGGCGAAGGCAGCUCGCUGGGACGGUACGUGACGCUGAGGAGCGAAAGCGUGGGGAGCGAACAGG
rnacentral:rRNA from 1 species